CAUGUGCUGUGCAGAGGCAGCUGUGGAGGUGCUGCUUCCUGCGGCUCCCACGACGAGCCGCCUGGCGCUCCCACCACGCACGAGCGGCCUUGCGUCUGCCUCGAUGGGGCCUCGGGUGGGGCCGGACGGGCUGGUGCAGCGCAUGGGUGCAGGGAGCAUGCAGGUGGAGACGCACUGGCUCCCGGGGCAGCCUCUGGUUUGAAGCAGGUUUGCCUUCUCCACCAGGUGCCUCCUGGGAAGCCCGGGCAGAUGGUCCUCGGAGGAAGAAGCUCUGGGGCUGGUGCGGGCCUGGGCCUCUCUCCGGAGGGUGUGGGUGCACCGGCUGUGGGCGUCCUCCUCGUGCGGCCGAUGUCCCCAGGGCGCCGGAGCCUGUGGAACCCAGAUAGGAGGGUCCUCCUCCUUCACCCACACCCGGACCCCGGACAGGUGCUGGGGUGCAGGGGGGAGGGCACCCAGGGCGGGAGGGGUCAGGGGUAGGGGGACACCAGGGUAGGAGGGCACCCCAGCUGGGAGGGCACCAGGGGCGGGAGGAGGAGCCCGGGGGCCCCCUGGUGGUUGUGGCGUGGCCGCUGAGGUCCCUGGAGACACAAGCAGGGGUCCAUGACCAUGUCCCCCACCCAGCUGCCUGGAGCCCCCUCCCGCCAUUGCCCGUCGUGCCCAGGGCCCACCCUUCCAGGUCCUCCUCCAGGACAAGCAGACGGAAGAUUCCAGGAGGAAGGAUAGAGACGGAGGAGGUGGAGGGGGUGACGGGUACGGGGGCAGCCUCAUGUGCUCACGCGGGGAGGGAUGCACCCGGGGGCUGCUGGUAGGAGACCUUGGCAUCGCUCCUAAACCCAGGGUCCUCUAACCCCUUUGCUCACCUGUGUCUCACACCUGCAGCCUGUGAACAUGCUCGGCGCCCCCCUCUCCUGUUCCUGAGCCCCGGGGUAGACAGGCCUGUGCCUACCCCCAAGGGGUCCUGCGCCGUCUGGCUGAGGGUCGGAGGGCAGUGGGUGAGAUGGGGCGCUGCAUUCCCUGCAGGGCUGUCCUCAGCGUCUGUAGGCCCGGCUCCCCAACUGUGGGCAGCAUGGGGGGUGGGGUGAGGGGCGGCCCAGAGAGAGAAGGAGACCUGCUCGACUACAGUGUGGCUGAGGGCUGUGCAGGGGAGGACAGGGGAGGACGGGGCGCAGG
rnacentral:lncRNA from 1 species